AGGGUUUGAUCCUGGCUCAGAGCGAACGCUGGCGGCGUGGUUUAGGCAUGCAAGUCGAGCGCGAAAGUUCCCUUCGGGGGAUGAGUAGAGCGGCGAAAGGGUGAGUAAUGCAUAGGCAACCUACCCCUGACUCCGGUAUAGCGUCUGGAAACGGGCGGUAAUCCCGGAUGGUCCCGAUGACAGGAAUCUGUUUUCGGGUAAAGAUGGGGAUCUUCGGACCUUUCGGUCGGGGAGGGGCCUAUGUCCCAUCAGCUUGUUGGUGAGGUUACGGCUCACCAAGGCGAUAACGGGUAGCCGGACUGAGAGGUUGGCCGGUCACACUGGGACUGAGACACUGCCCAGACUCCUACGGGAGGCUGCAGUCGAGAAUCAUUCACAAUGCGCGAAAGCGUGAUGAUGCGACGCCGCGUGGAGGAUGAAGGCCUUAGGGUUGUAAACUCUUGUCACGGGUUAUGAAACGUAGCGCGUUAAUAGCGUGCUGCCUGACAAAGGCCCGAGAGGAAGUCACGGCUAACUCCGUGCCAGCAGCCGCGGUAAUACGGAGGUGGCAAGCGUUGCUCGGAAUCACUGGGCAUAAAGGGCGUCUAGGCGGAUUGGUUAGUCGGUUGUGGAAGCCCUCGGCCUAACCGAGGAAGUGCAACCGAUACUGCCAGUCUUGAGGGCGAUAGGGGAGAGUGGAACUCCUGGUGGAGCGGUGAAAUGCGUAGAUAUCAGGAGGAACGCCGGUGGCGAAAGCGACUCUCUGGAUCGUCCCUGACGCUGAAGCGCGAAAGCUAGGGUAGCGAACGGGAUUAGAUACCCCGGUAGUCCUAGCCGUAAACGAUGGGCACUAAGUAGUGGCGUUUUCGAUGACGUCACUGCCGUAGCUAAUGUGUUAAGUGCCCCGCCUGGGGAGUAAGGUCGCAAGGCUAAAACUCAAAGGAAUUGACGGGGGCUCACACAAGCGGUGGAGGAUGUUGCUUAAUUCGAAUCAACGCGAAGAACCUUACCUGGACUUGACAUCGCGGUGGUAGAACCCUGAAAGGGGAACGACCCGGGGCAACCCGGGAGCCGUGACAGGUGUUGCAUGGCUGUCGUCAGCUCGUGCCGUGAGGUGUUGGGUUAAGUCCCGUAACGAGCGAAACCCUUAUCGUUAGUUGCCAGCGGGUAAUGCCGGGGACUCUAGCGAGACUGCCGGUGUCAAACCGGAGGAAGGUGGGGAU
rnacentral:rRNA from 1 species